rnacentral:lncRNA from 1 species
AUCAACCUAUGUAGUCUAUAUUCUGAUUUAAUUGUUUUCAGAUUACAUCCUUAAAAAAGUCCUUUAUUAGAAAAUCUUAUCGCUUCUUCCUUACUAUAUAUUUCCAAUACCGUAAUUUAGACUGUCAUUUUAACCUAGAUUUUUAUAAAAGUUUCCAAAAUAAUCUCCCUUUCACUGUCUUUUUUCUCCUUUCCAUGAGCUGCUCAGUUAUGCUAAAGCUUAGCUAUCAGAAUGCUUUAACCUCUAGGAGAUGUGUCCAGAUGCCUCACCUCACUACAUACUAAAGAGCUCUUCCUUCCCUUUCUCUCUCCCCAUAGUCUGCCACUUCCCCACUCAAUCUUGGCCCUACCAGCAACAUCUCUGAUCACUCCCCUUCAUUCCAUACUUCAUUCAUUCAUCCUUCACAAAACAAAUAUUUGACCCACUGAUUAUGCAACAGAAAAAGCUAGGUACUACUCAUUUUGUUCUUUUUGCUAGACUUUUCUUUUUCUACCAUUUCUCUUCUCUUGUCAAAAUUCUAUUCAUCGUGCAGGACCCAGUCCAAAUGACACCGGCACUUCCUAUAGGAAACCUCUAAUUUCCCCCUUCCUCCCCCAUAAGAAUAGUUUUCUUAUGUGUCCAAAGAUUUAUUAAUUUACAUUCUGCUAUCACAAUACUCAGAGUAGUUUGAUUUAAAUUAGAAAGUUAGUUCUAUGUACCCCCUCCCCUAGAUUAGAGAGCCUCUAGAACAGUAAAAUGCUUUACUUAUCUUUAGGUCCCAUUGAGAAGUUCAAAGGUUAUCACCAAUGUUAGCAGAGCACGAUAACAAAAUAUUUGAGGAAAGGUCAUAUUUAAGAAUCCAUGCAGAGGUCCUAUUGUGGAUCAGCAGUAAGGAACCCGACUGGUAUGCCUGAGGAUGCAGGUUCCAAACCUGGCCUCACUCAGUGGGUUAAGGAUCCAGUGUUGUCCUGAGCUGCAGCGUAGGUCACAGAUGCAGUUCAGAUCUGGCGUUGCUGUGGCCGUGGUGUAGGCUGGCGGCUGCAGCUCUGAUUCGACACCUGGACUGGGAACUUCCAUAUGCCACAGAUGAGGUCCUAAAAGCAACAACAACAACAACACAGAAUCCAUUCAGACAAGAAUCACUUGGGAGAAGGUAAAUGGCAAAACUGGUCCCUAUCCUAGGAGUAAAGUGAUGUACUGGGCAGGUAACCAGGCAAGGACUCAGUCAGCGAGCAGGGCAACCAGUUGAUUUUAAAUACUAGAGUCCAAGCAAAAACAAACAAGCAACACUACAUCAAACUAAAUGGCUUCUGCACAGCGAAGGAAACCUUCAACAAAGUAAAAACGCAACAUACAGAAUGGGAGAAAAUGUUUGCAAACCACAUGUCCAAUUAGAGGUUAAUAGCCAACAUAAAAAAAGAAAUUCAUACGACUCGAUAACAAAAAAAUCAAAUAACCCAACUUAGAAAUGGACAAAGGACUUGAAUGAACAUUUUUCCCAAGAGAACACAUAAGUGGCCAACAGGUACAUUAAAAGGUGCUCAAUAAUGACUAAUCAUCAAGGAAAAGCCCAUCAAAAUCACAACCAGUAAUCACCUCAUACCUGUUAGAAUGGCUAUUAUUAAAGAGAGAGAGAGGGAACAAAUGCUUGUGAGGCUGCAGAGAAAAGGGAACUUUCAUACACUGUUGGUAGGAAUAUCAAUUGGUACAACCAUUAUAGAAAACAGUAUGGGGGUUCCUUGAGAAAUUAAAACUGGAAGUACCAUAGGAUGGGAAUUACCCCCUUUCCAGGUAUAUAUCCAAAAGGAUUGAAAUCAAGAUCUCAAAGAGGUGGAGUUCCCACUGUGGUUCAGCGGUAAUGAACCCGACUAGUAUCUAGUAUCCUUGAGGAUGCGAGUUCAAUCCCUGGCCUCACUCAGUGGGUUAAGGAUUCAGCAUUGCCAAGAUCUGUGGUGUAGUUCACAGACACGGCUUGGAUCCUGUGUUGCUGUGGCUGUGGUGUAGGCCAGCAACUACAGCUCUGAUUUGACCUUUAGCCUGGGAACUUCCAUGUGCUGCAGGUUUGGCCCUGAAAAGAAAAAAAAGAUCUCAAAUCUUUAUUGGUAUUCACAUGUUCACAGCAGUAUUAUUUGCCAUGGCCAACAUGUGGAAACAAAGUGUCCACCGAUGAAUGAAUAAGGAAAAUGUGACAAAUACAGUGAAAUAUUAUUCAGCCUUAAAAAGAAGGAAAUCCUCUCAUUUGGUACAACAUGGAUAAACCUAGAGGGCAUUUUGCCAAGUGAAUUAAGCCAGACAGAGAAAGAGGCAACUACUACAUGGUAUAACACUCAUGUGGACAAAUUUUCAGUUGUAAGAUGAAUAAGGCCUGAGGAUCUACCACAUAACAUGGUAACUACAGUUAAUGACACGAUACUGUAUGAUUGAAAUUUGCUAAAAGAAUGGAACUUAAAUGUUCUCAUCAAAAAAAAAAAGUGAAUGGGGGAAAUCCUUUCACAAUGUAUAUGUACAUCAAACCAUCACACUGUACACUUUAAAUAUCUUACCAUUUUAUUUGUCACUUAUACCUCCAUAAAAUUGGGGGGAAAAAUUGAACACGGGUGUCUAGGAAGGGACUGAAUCUCAGGAGCAACAGGUAAGAAGGCCAAUGACCACGGAUAGACUAGUUCCAAGAGUAUUUGGAUAUCAUUGCGGAAUCAUUUAUUCCUCCUUAGCCACUCAUAAAUGGCACUGGGAACUGGGAGCAAGACUGAGGCUACAAGCAGAUCAGUAGCCCCCCAAGUCUGAGAAGCUAAGGCUUACAUGGAAUGUGCAACACCUAAAACGCCUAAUCAGAGAUACAUUCAAUUGCAUUCAGUCAACACCAGUCUUUGGGUUAAAGGCUAAAAUCUAAAACAUGGCCUAGAAAUUUCUGAAAAAUAGGUACCCUGCCUCCCUCUCCAGGCUCAUCUGAUACCACUGUCUACCUAGCACAUCCUCUGAGUUUCAGCCACUUUAGCAUCUAGUUUCUCCAUGUGCCUCUCCCAGAGCCCUCUACCAUUUUCCCUUCCCUUCUACGGAGCUAGCUCCUACUUGUCCUUUAGUUUUUCACUCAAGUAAGUAUGACACCAUUCACUUCAUCAUUACAAAGAGAUUGUGAAGCAAAUAAAGGCAGGAACUGUGUCCUAAGAGUGUGUAAAAAUUUAAUUUUUAUCUUUAGCAUUUUAAAGUGUAAAGUUCCAUGGUGUUAAGUAUUUAAAUAUUUUCACAUUGUUGUACAACCAAUCUCCAGAACUCUUUUUAUCUUCUUCUUCUUACUAUUUUUUAUGGCUAGCUGCACCUGCAGCAUAUAGAAGUUCCCAGGCUAGGUGUCAAAUCAGAGCUAUACCUAUGACCUAUGCCUCAGUUUUCUGGGCAAUGAUGGAUCCUUAACCCAAUGAGUGAGGCCAGGGAUUGAACCCACAUCCUCACAAAGUCGGGUUCUUAACCCACUGAGCCACAACAGGAACUCCUAGAACUCUUUUUAUCUUACAAAACUGAAAUUCUAUAUCCAUUAAACAACUCCCCGUUCCCUUCUGCUCCAAGACUCUGGAAACUACCUUUGUAUUUUCUGUCUCCAAGAAUUUGACAAUUCUAGAUGUCUCAUUUAAGUGGAAUUACAGUAUUUGUCUUAUUUUUGUCUCCUGGCUUAUUUCAUGUAGUAUAAUGUCUUCCAGGUUCAUCUAUGUUGUAGCAUAUGUCAGAAUUUCCUUCCUUUUUAAGGCUGAAUCAUAUUCCAUGAUAUGGAUAUGCCACAUUUUGUUUCUCUCUUCACCCAUGGGUGGACACUUGGGUUGUUUCCACCUUUUGGAUGUAAUGAAUAAUGCUGCUAUGAACACAGGUACAUAAAAUCUUAAGAGCCUGCUUUCAGUUCUUCUGGAUACAUAGCAAGAAGUGUAACUGCUGGAUCAUAUGGUAAUUCUAUUUUCAACUUUUUGAGAAACCACCAAACUGUUUUCCAUCGCAGAUGUACCAUUUGACAUACCCAUCAACAGUGCAUAAGAGUUCCAAUUUCUCCUCAUCCUCGCCAAUACUUUUUUGUCGAUUUUGUUUAAUCUAAUGGGUGUGAGUUAGUAUUAAUCAUCUUUUAAAUCAUCUACAUCAUCGAGUUGAUGCCUGAGACUUUCACACAUGUAAAUGUUCAAAAAAUACUUACGGAAUGAAGUUGGCCAAAAGCUCAGCUCAGUAGCAUCCAAGCAGAGUAGAUGCCUAUCACAUGGUAUAAUUAUCUCAAGGGAGCUUGGAGUAGAGCCCAUGGUGCUCUCACUUGCAGCUAUGCUGACACAACUAUCUUCCUACUUUCUCAUUUGGGGUGUUUUAAACUAUGUGGACACAUUUAUGACACUAGAGUGGGAGUUUCGGGAAUAAAUAUGAAAUUCUUCAUGUUUUUCCAGUCAACAAAACUCAAUUUUCUAUGUGUAUUUUUUUUUCUAUGUGUAUACUCUAUUGUGUUAAGUUUACACAUGAGCAAUAGAAGUGUAGAAGAAGAAGAAUACCUAAGUUGACUUGGGGAUAAAAUGCAUCUAUUACUACAACAAAUUUUUAAAUUCUUCCAAAUUAGAGGUGAGAAGUGCUGAAGGACUCUAUCAUAGAGGUCUUGAUCUUUCCUUGAGGUUCAGGAUUUGGUGAGGAGAUGAUAUUUGAGUGUAUCUUUCUCUUUGUGUACAUUCCAUUAAGUAUUCAGAGCAGUAGGUGUACUUUUCUGUAAUUAAGCAAUAAUUAAUUCAAUCGAGACACUAAUUACUCUCCUGCUAAAUGUAAAUACUGGGCUAGGCCCAAUAGGGUUACAAAGAAGAACUCAAGGACUUGACUUGCUCUCAAGAAGUAACAAAGUAACAGAAUAACCCAUGAAGUCCUAUACAGAAGGAAGUUCAAAGUCCUUAAACACAGUAAUUUAAAUGUAAAUAAGUUAAAGACAAUCCAAUAGCCACCCAUUAUGUAUUCAGUGAGAGGGACUAAUUCUCAAGAAUCAAAAAUCAAAUAUUAAGCCCUCAUUGUUCCUUCUGUUAGUCUGAAUGAAACAUACUCAGCAGCCCACAUAUACACACAUACAAAAAAAAAAAAAAAAAAAAAAAAAAAA